CCGAGGAGUCCUGGCCGUUCGCGAGUCGUAGGGGCCCCCACUGACUAACCCCGAAGGCGUAGCGAAAGCGAGAGAGCGUGUCGGAGGGCGUCGACCGGGAGAGGUGUCGUGGCAAAGUCGUGCGGGCGUCGUCGGGGUGAAAAGCGGUUUCGGCCGUCUCUUCUCCUCGCCUCGUCCGCCCUCCACGCCGUGCCCGAUCCCGCCGGCGCGGUGUCUCGUCCUCCGCGUCGUCCUCUCGUCAUCGAUGUUGCCGGCAACGGCGACGACCGGUGACGACGACUGGCGUGGCGAUCGUUUCCUCCUUCCCUCCUUCCGAGGAGAUGGCGGGGCAUCAGCUUACAUCCUCCUACCGUUCAUCGGUGAGAUCCCGCGGCUUGAACUAGUCCUAUUUUGUCGUCGAGUUUAGGCACUGCACGUGGGCGCAUCACCCCCGGGUCGGCGGUGAAAACCUUUCCGAGUACGACUCGGCCGACUCUGGCGUAGCGAGCGGCCAGGGACCCGAAAGAUGGCGAUCCACGCCCGGUCGGGAUGAAGCCAGAGGAAACUCUGGUGGAAGUCCGAAGCGCCUCUGACGUGCAAAUCGAUCGUCGGAACCGGGUGUAGGGGCGAAAGACCAAUCGAGCCGUCUA
rnacentral:rRNA from 1 species